rnacentral:rRNA from 1 species
UUGCUCCUGGAUUCAGCGGCGGACGGGUGAGUAAUGCCUAGGAAUCUGCCUGGUAGUGGGGGACAACGUUUCGAAAGGAGCGCUAAUACCGCAUACGUCCUACGGGAGAAAGCAGGGGACCUUCGGGCCUUGCGCUAUCAGAUGAGCCUAGGUCGGAUUAGCUAGUUGGUGAGGUAAUGGCUCACCAAGGCGACGAUCCGUAACUGGUCUGAGAGGAUGAUCAGUCACACUGGAACUGAGACACGGUCCAGACUCCUACGGGAGGCAGCAGUGGGGAAUAUUGGACAAUGGGCGAAAGCCUGAUCCAGCCAUGCCGCGUGUGUGAAGAAGGUCUUCGGAUUGUAAAGCACUUUAAGUUGGGAGGAAGGGUUGUAGAUUAAUACUCUGCAAUUUUGACGUUACCGACAGAAUAAGCACCGGCUAACUCUGUGCCAGCAGCCGCGGUAAUACAGAGGGUGCAAGCGUUAAUCGGAAUUACUGGGCGUAAAGCGCGCGUAGGUGGUUUGUUAAGUUGGAUGUGAAAUCCCCGGGCUCAACCUGGGAACUGCAUCCAAAACUGGCAAGCUAGAGUAUGGUAGAGGGUGGUGGAAUUUCCUGUGUAGCGGUGAAAUGCGUAGAUAUAGGAAGGAACACCAGUGGCGAAGGCGACCACCUGGACUGAUACUGACACUGAGGUGCGAAAGC